rnacentral:rRNA from 1 species
AUGAACGCUGGCGGCGUGCCUAAUACAUGCAAGUCGAGCGAACAGAUGAGGAGCUUGCUCCUCUGACGUUAGCGGCGGACGGGUGAGUAACACGUGGAUAACCUACCUAUAAGACUGGGAUAACUUCGGGAAACCGGAGCUAAUACCGGAUAAUAUAUUGAACCGCAUGGUUCAAUAGUGAAAGACGGUUUUGCUGUCACUUAUAGAUGGAUCCGCGCCGCAUUAGCUAGUUGGUAAGGUAACGGCUUACCAAGGCAACGAUGCGUAGCCGACCUGAGAGGGUGAUCGGCCACACUGGAACUGAGACACGGUCCAGACUCCUGCGGGAGGCAGCAGUAGGGAAUCUUCCGCAAUGGGCGAAAGCUUGACGGAGCAACGCCGCGUGAGUGAUGAAGGUCUUCGGAUCGUAAAACUCUGUUAUUAGGGAAGAACAAAUGUGUAAGUAACUAUGCACGUCUUGACGGUACCUAAUCAGAAAGCCACGGCGAACUACGU